GACGAACGCUGGCGGCGUGCCUAAUACAUGCAAGUCGAACGAGAGCGACCGGUGCUUGCACUGGUCAAUCUAGUGGCGAACGGGUGAGUAACACGUGGGUAACCUGCCCAUCAGAGGGGGAUAACAUUCGGAAACGGAUGCUAAAACCGCAUAGGUCUUCGAACCGCAUGGUUUGAAGAGGAAAAGAGGCGCAAGCUUCUGCUGAUGGAUGGACCCGCGGUGCAUUAGCUAGUUGGUGAGGUAACGGCUCACCAAGGCCGUGAUGCAUAGCCGACCUGAGAGGGUGAUCGGCCACAUUGGGACUGAGACACGGCCCAAACUCCUACGGGAGGCAGCAGUAGGGAAUCUUCCGCAAUGGACGCAAGUCUGACGGAGCAACGCCGCGUGAGUGAAGAAGGUUUUCGGAUCGUAAAACUCUGUUGUUAGAGAAGAAUAAGUGCUAGAGUAACUGUUAGCGCCUUGACGGUAGCUAACCAGAAAGCCACGGCUAACUACGUG
rnacentral:rRNA from 1 species